UUGAUCCACCUGAAGAAUUAGGAGCUAGUAUUUCUGUCACAUCAGAUGAGCUAGAGAAAUUGCUCUAUAAACCACAAGCUGGUGAAUGGGGUCAGAAAUCAAGAGAUGAAGAAUGUGAUAGAAUUAUCAGUGGUAUAGAUCAACUUUUGAAUCUUGAUAUAGCAGCAGCUUUUGCAGGCCCUGUUGAUCUGUGUACGUACCCGAAGUACUGUACUGUAGUAGCUUAUCCAACCGAUCUUUACACAAUUCGAAUGAGACUUGUUAAUCGAUUUUACAGGAGGCUGUCCGCGUUAGUUUGGGAAGUCAGAUAUAUAGAACAUAAUGCCAGAACAUUUAACGAACCUGAGAGUGUAAUUGCAAGAUCAGCUAAAAAGAUAACUGACCAACUUUUAAAAUUUAUCAAGAAUCAACACUGUACAAAUAUCUCAGAACUUUCUAACACAUCUGAAAAUGAUGAGGAAAAUGCUGAGGAUUUGGAUGAUAGUGAUCUUCCUAAAACAUCUUCUGGAAGAAGGAGAGUCCAUGAUGGGAAAAAAAGCAUCAGAGCUACGAACUAUGUUGAAAGCAACUGGAAGAAACAGUGACUACAGAGAUAUUAUAGAUACCCCAAUGGAUUUUGGAACAGUAAGGGAAACUCUAGAUGCGGGAAAUUAUGACAGCCCUUUGGAGUUUUGCAAAGACAUCCGGCUCAUAUUUAGCAAUGCAAAAGCAUAUACACCAAACAAAAGAUCAAAGGUAAUUUUUUAUGUGGUUUAUUGAAAAAAACUGCCUGAUCUGUGUAGAUAAUUUCCCAAUGUAAUAGUAAUUUUUUCCAGUGUAAUUUUCCACUGUGUAGUAGAGGUUAGAACAUUAAAGAUAAGUGAAUAAAUUAAGACUAUUAUAAAGAAAAGAGCUUCUGCUACUGCUCAUAUAUCUUCAGUUUUUGCCUUUCAUCAGUUGAUGUU
rnacentral:sRNA from 1 species